rnacentral:rRNA from 1 species
UGGGGAAUAUUGGACAAUGGGCGCAAGCCUGAUCCAGCCAUGCCGCGUGAGUGAUGAAGGCCCUAGGGUUGUAAAGCUCUUUCACCGGUGAAGAUAAUGACGGUAACCGGAGAAGAAGCCCCGGCUAACUUCGUGCCAGCAGCCGCGGUAAUACGAAGGGGGCUAGCGUUGUUCGGAAUUACUGGGCGUAAAGCGCACGUAGGCGGACAUUUAAGUCAGGGGUGAAAUCCCGGGGGCUCAACCCCGGAACUGCCUUUGAUACUGGGUGUCUAGAGUUCGAGAGAGGUGAGUGGAAUUCCGAGUGUAGAGGUGAAAUUCGUAGAUAUUCGGAGGAACACCAGUGGCGAAGGCGGCUCACUGGCUCGAUACUGACGCUGAGGUGCGAAAGCGUGGGG